UCCAGGAUGGAACAUCCAGGAGGGGACACCCAGGGUGGAACAUCCAGGAGGGGACACCCAGGGUGGGACAUCCAGGAGGGGACACCCAAGCAGAAAGAGGUGCCCAAAAUCCAUAGGAAAGCCAUCAAGAUGUUUGUCCUGUCCCUUCCUGGGAAUCUCUGCCAGGUGGCUCCAGGGUGGGACACCCAGGAUGGGACACCAAGGGUAGGAAAUUUGAGCAGAAAUGGAGCAGGGAGCUGGGAUGAGGUGCCCAAAAUCCAUAGGAAAGCCACCAGGAUGUGUCCUGUCCCUUCCUAAGAACCUCUGGCAGGAGGCUCCAGGAUGGGACACCCAGGAUGGGAUAUCCUGGAGGAGACAUCCAGGAGGGGACACCCAAGCAGAAAGAGGUGCCCCAAAUCCAUAGGAAAGCCAUCAAGAUGUUUGUCCUGUCCCUUCCUAAGAACCUCUGGCAGGAGGCUCCAGGAUGGGACUUCCAGGAUGGGACACCAAGGGUGGGAAAUCUGAGCAGAAAUGGAGCAGGGAGCUGGGAUGAGGUGCCCAAAAUCCAUAGGAAAGCCAUCAAGAUGUUUGUCCUGUCCCUUCCUGGGAAUCUCUGCCAGGUGGCUCCAGGAUGGGACUUCCAGGAUGGGAUAUCCUGGAGGGGACAUCCAGGAAGGGACACCAAGGGUGGGACAGCCAGGAGGGGACACCCAAGCAGAAAUAGGUGCCCAAAAUCCAUAGGAAAGCCAUCAAGAUGUUUGUCCUGUCCCUUCCUGGGAAAUCUCUGCCAGGUGGCUCCAGGGUGGGACACCCAGGAUGGGACACCAAGGGUGGGACAUCUGAGCAGAAACAGGGCAGGGAGCUGGGAUGAGGUGCCCAAAAUCCAUAGGAAAGCCACCAGGAUGUGUCCUGUCCCUUCCUAAGAACCUCUGGCAGGAGGCUCCAGGAUGGGACACCCAGGAGGGGAUAUCCAGGAGGGGACACCCAGGGUGGGACAGCCAGGAGGGGACACCCAGGGUGGGACACCCAAGCAGAAAGAGGUGCCCAAAAUCCAUAGGAAAGCCAUCAAGAUGUUUGUCCUGUCCCUUCCUGGGAACCUCUGCCAGGUGGCUCCAGGAUGGGACAUCCAGGAUGGGACACCAAGGGUGGGACAUCCAGGAGCGGACA